rnacentral:rRNA from 1 species
GACGAACGCUGGCGGCGUGCUUAACACAUGCAAGUCGAACGGAAAGGCCCUGCUUUUGUGGGGUGCUCGAGUGGCGAACGGGUGAGUAACACGUGAGUAACCUGCCCUUGACUUUGGGAUAACUUCAGGAAACUGGGGCUAAUACCGGAUAGGAGCUCCUGCUGCAUGGUGGGGGUUGGAAAGUUUCGGCGGUUGGGGAUGGACUCGCGGCUUAUCAGCUUGUUGGUGGGGUAGUGGCUUACCAAGGCUUUGACGGGUAGCCGGCCUGAGAGGGUGACCGGCCACAUUGGGACUGAGAUAGGGCCCAGAAUGCUACGGGAGGCAGCAGGGGGGAAUAUUGCACAAUGGGCGGAAGCCUGAUGCAGCAACGCCGCGUGCGGGAUGACGGCCUUCGGGUUGUAAACCGCUUUCGCCUGUGACGAAGCGUGAGUGACGGUAAUGGGUAAAGAAGCACCGGCUAACUACGUG